rnacentral:rRNA from 1 species
CGAAGGGGGCUAGCGUUGCUCGGAAUCACUGGGUUUAAAGGGUCCGUAGGCGGUUUAAUAAGUCAGUGGUGAAAUCUGGUCGCUCAACGAUCAAACGGCCAUUGAUACUGUUAGACUUGAAUUAUUGGGAAGUAACUAGAAUAUGUAGUGUAGCGGUGAAAUGCUUAGAUAUUACAUGGAAUACCAAUUGCGAAGGCAGGUUACUACCAGUGGAUUGACGCUGAUGGACGAAAGCGUGGGGAGCGAACAGGAUUAGAUACCCUGGUAGUCCACGCCGUAAACGAUGGAUACUAGCUGUUCGGAGCAAUCUGAGUGGCUAAGCGAAAGUGAUAAGUAUCCCACUGGGGAUACGUUCGCAAGAAUG